GACGAACGCUGGCGGCGUGCUUAACACAUGCAAGUCGAACGGUAAGGCCCUUCGGGGUACACGAGUGGCGAACGGGUGAGUAACACGUGGGUGAUCUGCCCUGCGCUUCGGGAUAAGCCUGGGAAACUGGGUCUAAUACCGGAUAGGACUCCUGGCUUCAUGGUUGGGGGGGGAAAGCUUUUGCGGUGUGGGAUGGGACCGCGGCCUAUCAGCUUGUUGGUGGGGUAAUGGCCUACCAAGGCGACGACGGGUAGCCGGCCUGAGAGGGUGACCAGUCACACUGGGACUGAGAUACGGCCCAGACUCCUACGGGAGGCAGCAGUGGGGAAUAUUGCACAAUGGGCGCAAGCCUGAUGCAGCGACGCCGCGUGAGGGAUGACGGCCUUCGGGUUGUAAACCUCUUUCAGCUAUGACGAAGCGCAAGUGACGGUAGUAGCAGAAGAAGGACCGGCCAACUACGUGCCAGCCGCCGCAGUAACAC
rnacentral:rRNA from 1 species